GACGAACGCUGGCGGCGUGCUUAACACAUGCAAGUCGAACGGAAAGGCUCCAGCUUGCUGGAGUACUCGAGUGGCGAACGGGUGAGUAACACGUGGGUGAUCUGCCCUGCACUUCGGGAUAAGCCUGGGAAACUGGGUCUAAUACCGGAUAGGACCGCACUUUGGUGUGUGUGGUGGAAAGGUUUUUCUGGUGUGGGAUGAGCUCGCGGCCUAUCAGUUUGUUGGUGGGGUAAUGGCCUACCAAGACGGCGACGGGUAGCCGGCCUGGGAGGGUGGACGGUCACAUUGGGACUGAGAUACGGCCCAGACUCCUACGGGAGGCAGCAGUGGGGAAUAUUGCACAAUGGGGGAAACCCUGAUGCAGCGACGCCGCGUGGGGGAUGAAGGCCUUCGGGUUGUAAACUCCUUUCGCUAGGGACGAAGCUUUUUGUGACGGUACCUGGAGAAGAAGCACCGGCUAACUACGUG
rnacentral:rRNA from 1 species